CUUAGAGCUACCGCAGCAUGGAGUGACAUCAUAAUACAACACAACGUAACUUGAAUUGCUGAACCUUCUGACUGCUUUGAUUUACGGAAUGAGGAAGUUUGCAGUACAGACUGUAUGAUGUUUUCCUUCCAUGCUCCUCUGACUCUCAAUAAUGGGCUUUGUUUAGAUUGAGUCUACAGAAAAAAAAAAUGAAGCAAAUAGGUUUGACAGUACAUUCAAGAUCAGAAACUUUAGAAUUGUUUUUAAAGCUAUGGAUUUCAAAGUAAGGAGGCCUUUUCAAUUCUCCAUAGGUCUACCUAGAGGUAGCACAAAGAAAACACAGGAUUAACUGAAUCACAUCUCAAAAAAUGUGGAUGGUGAAGAAGUUUCUGCUGGCUGAGGACUAAAUGUUUUUCAAAACACAAUGCAGCUUCCUGCCUGAGCCCUCCUUCAACAAUUGAGCUAGAUUGCUUAAAUAAAGGAUUUAACUGGAACCUCCCAGAACUGUGCUCCAUCAAGAACCAAUAUUGAAAAAGUUCUGGUCUACAUAAACUAGAAAAGAAGAGCCUCUCAACCACCUGCCAGAGACAAAUCGGGUAAAUCCUGGAAUUCAUUCCCCCAUUCACUUCUUGUUUUUUUUAAAAAAAAA